rnacentral:rRNA from 1 species
GACGAACGCUGGCGGCGUGCUUAACACAUGCAAGUCGAACGGAAAGGCCCUGCUUUUGUGGGGUGCUCGAGUGGCGAACGGGUGAGUAACACGUGAGUAACCUGCCCUUGACUUUGGGAUAACUUCAGGAAACUUGGGCUACUACCGGAUAGGAUCUCCUGCUGCAUGGUGGGGGUUGGAAAGUUUCGGCGGUUGGGGAUGGACUGGCGGCUUAUCAGCUUGUUGGUGGGGUAGUGGCUUACCAAGGCUUUGACGGGUAGCCGGCCUGAGAGGGUGACCGGCAACAUUGGGACUGAGAUACGGCCCAGACGCGUACGGGAGGCAGCAGUGGGGAAUAUGGCACAAUGGGCGGAAGCCUGAUGCAGCAACGCAGCGUGCGGGAUGACGGCCUGCGGGUUGUAAACCGCUUUCGCCUGUGACGAAGCGUGAGUGACGGUAAUGGGUAAAGAAGCACCGGCUAACUACGUG